rnacentral:rRNA from 1 species
AUUGAACGCUGACGGCAGGCUUAACACAUGCAAGUCGAGCGGGGGAAGGUAGCUUGCUACCGGACCUAGCGGCGGACGGGUGAGUAAUGCUUGGGAAUCUGCCUAUUAGUGGGGGACAACAUCUCGAAAGGGAUGCUAAUACCGCAUACGUCCUACGGGAGAAAGCAGGGGAUUUUCGGACCUUGCGCCAAUAGAUGAGCCUACGUCGGAUUAGCUAGUUGGUGGGGUACAGGCCUAACAAGGCGACUAUCUGUCGCGGGUCUGAGAGGAUUAUCCGCCACACUGGUACUGAGACACGGGCCAGACUCCUACGGGAGGCAGCAGUGGGGAAUAUUGGACAAUGGGGGGAACCCUGAUCCAGCCAUGCCGCGUGUGUGAAGAAGGCCUUAUGGUUGUAAAGCACUUUAAGCGAGGAGGAGGCUACUCUAGUUAAUACCUAGGGAUAGUGGACGUUACUCGCAGAAUAAGCACCGGCUAACUACGUGCCAGCAGCCGCGGUAA